rnacentral:rRNA from 1 species
UACGUAGGGUGCAAGCGUUAAUCGGAAUUACUGGGCGUAAAGCGUGCGCAGGCGGUGAUGUAAGACAGGUGUGAAAUCCCCGGGCUUAACCUGGGAACUGCAUUUGUGACUGCAUCGCUGGAGUGCGGCAGAGGGGGAUGGAAUUCCGCGUGUAGCAGUGAAAUGCGUAGAUAUGCGGAGGAUCACCGAUGGCGAAGGCAAUCCCCUGGGCCUGCACUGACGCUCAUGCACGAAAGCGUGGGGAGCAAACAGG